rnacentral:lncRNA from 1 species
CAACAAGGCGGAGCGUGAUGCAGACAUCAAUCUCUCCCUCUCAGGAGAUGGCUUUGACAUGAUCACGCGUACCAAGAACAUGUUGGAGUUGGAAUGCCCCGGCGUGGUCUCUUGUUCUGACAUACUUGCCACAACGACGCGUGAUCUUGUUGUUGCUGUCGGCGGCCCAUUCUAUGAGUUAGACCUUGGUCGAAAAGACAGUGUAGAGUCCAAAGCAAUCGACGCAGAAAACAAAUAUCCAUUACCAACUAUGACAAUGUCUCAGGUUAGAGAAGAAUCUAUUACAUUGUUCAUUAAUUUUUUUGGUAUCAAAUAGUUAUAUUACAAUUUUGUCCGUUAACUGAAAGUUUAUAUAUAUAUAUAUAUAUAUAUAUAUAUAUAUAUAUAUAUAUAUAUAUAUAUAUAUUGUUCUCGUUGGUUAUUGGGUAAACACCCCAAAUCAUCAAGGGGUAGAGUAUGUCUCACCUAUCUUGGUAAAUAGUCCCUCCAGUCCUAUAUAUUAAAAAAAAAGUUUAUUAUUUAGAUUAAUUGUAAAGUUGAUGUAUCUAGACAACAUUAUAGUCUAGAUACAUCAACUUUUAAUGAAUCUAAAAAGUAAACUUUUCCUUAUAUAUAGGACCGGAUGGAGUAUUUGUUAGGCUGUGAGGGAGAGUCUCACUGGGUUGGGUCAGCAUAUUGGACAUUGCGCAACCAUAACUUUAACACUACACUUUCCCCCAACACCUUAAGGUAUUAGGUUUAUGGGUCAUCUCACUUAUAGUGUUCAAACGCAACUCUUCCAACCAAUGUAAGACUUAACUCACAUCACAUUUAAUAGAUCUCAACAAUAUUACACCAAUAUAGUUUGAUUAAUUCUUUAUAUGUUUAUUGUACUAACUUAAAACUAUGAAUUUGUGACUGUGCUAGGUGAUAGACAUUUUCACUUCAAAAGGGUUUACCGUGCAAGAGAUGGUGGCUCUAGCUGGUGGACACACAAUAGGAUUCUCUCACUGCAAACAGUUUAGCAAUAGGCUCUUCAACUUCAGCAAGACCUCUGAGACUGAUCCUAUUUACAACCCACAGUAUGCCGCAGGGCUAAAGAAACUCUGUCAAAAUUAUCAACAAGAUCCUUCCAUGUCAGCGUAUAACGACGUGAUGACACCUAACAAGUUUGAUAACAUGUAUUUUAAAAACUUGAAGAGAGGGUUAGGGCUUUUGGCUACAGAUAGUUUGAUGUUUGAGGAUAAGAGGACAAAACCCUUUGUGGAAUUGUAUGCUACAGACCAAACUAAGUUCUUUGAGGAUUUUGGUAAUGCUAUGCGCAAGGUUAGUGUUUUGCAUGUUAAGGCGGGGAAGGAAGGAGAGAUACGACAUAGGUGUGAUACUUUCAACAAACUUAAUGAUAAUCUAUGAAGUCCAGACUCCGAAAGGCACACCUCACACGGCACGGACACGUCGACAUUGCUAAUGUAAAAAACAUGGGACACCGACACCACUAGGUUAUCCAUCUACUAUCGAAAAGUUAAAAAUAUUUUUAUCAAAAUGUAAUCUCUUUAAUCCCUCAUUGAUCAACAUUAUUGUUUUGACGCAUUUUAAUCCUUGUAAAUAUGUCUAAUAUGUGUUUGAGGAGAGUAGAGGCAAAGAAGAAAACACUAAAUUUUUUGGGGCACUUGUCCGACACAGUGUCUUAUAGGUGUCAGACACCGAUCUAAGAAGUGUCGAAGUAAAGAAAAAUAAUAAUUUUUUUGACGCCUGUCUGACGAGUUGGGAUCCUCUCCAUUUCCUAUUAAUUUAAUUUCUUCCAUUACCAAAGUUUUUAAAUGUUUUGGAGUGUAUAAAAAAUAUUUGGACCCUUUUGCUUUAUAUUCCCAAAACUAUAUAAUAAUGGAUGAAAUGGAAAGAAUGAGAAAUGGAGAGAAUCCCAACACCUGUCUGACCUAUCCAACGACGUGUGUCGUAGAAGUGUCGAGUGUCGGACACCGACACGUGUCAAACACCGCAAAACGUCUAUUCAUAUAGGUGUCCAUCUUUUGUAGAUUAUACUUGAUUUGAGACCAACAGAUUAAUUAUUAUUACUAGUUAAGGGAUUUAAGUACACGUUUUUAAUUUUGUUGUGUUACUUAUUGUGUAGAUUCAAUUGAUUAAUGUGAAACGAAAUGAAAAUUGGUGUUAACUUUCUCUAAUACUGCUGCUCAGUUAAAUUAAUGUUAAGUAAAUUCCCUAUAAAUCGAUUCCCAGUUAUAUCUCUAAUUAUUAAUUGCAUGUUAGUACUAAUUCAUUCAUGUAAUCAAUAACUAAAAUAUUCUAGAGAUAUUAAUAUAAGGGUAAAGCUAAUAACCUAAUAAGGAACCAACCCACCUUUGAAUUAGAGGUGUGAUAACAACGAGAGUUGUAGAGCUGGAAAUGGAUUCUUUACAAAAUUCCUUGAUCCCCCUUCAAGCUCCAAUUACAACCCAUGACCUCUUGAUUGCUAGAAAUUCACAUGCUCAAAAAGAAUUACGAGGGUUGGGGAAAGGAGAAGGGAGGAAUAAGUCAGUCACUUACCUUGGUUGGGUAAAGGAGAAAGGAAUUACAAGGGCUGCUACUGUUGUGAUUGCAUGCAAGGUUAAGCUCUGGUUGUAAAAUUGGUGUGGGUUGAAAUGAAUGGAAAGGAGUGGCUCAGUCAAAUUGAG